rnacentral:misc_RNA from 1 species
UGGAGCGAGCAUAGCACGCUAGCCCGCGCGUCCGCCAUUUUGAAAACGAAAAUAGACACUGAAUUCCCGCGUUAAAAAUUGAAAAGUAAAAACUUAAAAACAGAAUCGCGCGUUCGAAUAUUCAAAAGUGAUUUUUCUUAAAUAGUUUUUUAAUAACAGUUACUUUUGUUUUUGACUGUGUUUCUGUGAUUGUGGACCAUGAUUUUGAAUGGGUACAAAACGAUACAAGUCUUCUAAAAAAAGAAUUUUAAAACAAAAUCAGUUUAAAACUUCACUUAACGCAACACAGUGUCUUUAGAAGAUAGGCAGAAUAAAAAAAAAAACAUUUAUGCAAUUCCUUUAUGGAUAGUGAAAGGGAAAGAUAUUUAAACAUAAAUGGCUAGAGAGAGAUAGCGAUUAGUUACCUUGUUCUAGUUAGAAAGGGACAGUGAUAUAGCGAGUCUGGCUGAGGGAAAGAGAGACAAGAUGUCGUUGGUGGCACCUAGGAGAGUGCAACUUGACUGGACCCAUACUAUACCCUGGGAACAAGAGCCAGGGUGUGAACGCGACUCCUCGUUCAAGAGAGCCCCGCAUCAGUCCAACCGAUCAGAAUCGUCAUCAUCAUCAGCGGACACCGCGUCCCAGGGGUCUGGCUCGCCUGCGCCACAGCCACGACCCGGAAAUGAACCACAGAGGGAAGAGCGGCGGGAGCAAGCCGCUUGUGCUCCGAGGUUACAACCUAACCCGUUACUGAGGUCUCGUACCCUCCCCAACUUCGGCGGCAACCGUUCCCGCGAGGCGUCCCGCUGCGACACCAGCCGGCGAGCUCACCACAUCACCAUGGCAACCGAGGAUCUGCUGCAGCCCGGCCACGUGGUCAAGGAGAGGUGGAAGGUGGUCAAGAAGAUAGGCGGCGGCGGCUUUGGGGAGAUUUACGAAGGUCUAGACCUGGUGACCCAAGAGCAGGUGGCCUUGAAGGUGGAGUCCGCCAGGCAGCCCAAGCAGGUGCUCAAGAUGGAGGUGGCUGUCUUGAAGAAGCUGCAAGGCAAGGAGCACGUAUGCCGCUUCAUAGGCUGCGGUCGCAACGCCAGGUUCAACUACGUCGUGAUGCAGCUGCAAGGGAGAAACCUGGCGGAGCUGAGGCGCGCUCAGCCGAGAGGUGCCUUCUCCCUGUCCACCACGCUUAGGCUGGGCUUGCAAAUACUCAAAGCUAUAGACUCUAUACACUCCGUCGGCUUCCUACAUAGAGAUAUUAAACCUAGUAACUUCAGCAUAGGCCGGCAUCCGUCCAACUGCCGCAAGGUGUACAUGUUGGACUUUGGGCUGGCGCGCCAGUACACCACCAGCAACGGGCAGGUGCGCCCGCCGCGGGCCGCCGCCGGCUUCAGAGGCACCGUCCGCUACGCGUCGAUUAACGCGCAUAAGAACAAGGAGAUGGGCAGACACGACGACCUGUGGUCGCUGUUCUACAUGUUGGUGGAGUUCGUCAACGGCCAGCUGCCCUGGAGGAAGAUCAAGGAUAAAGAACAGGUCGGCCUAAUGAAGGAGAAGUACGACCACCGGCUGCUGCUGAAGCACUUGCCGUCGGAGCUGCGGCAGUUCCUGGAGCACGUGCAGCAGUUGGAGUACGCGGACACGCCUGACUACGCCAUGCUGGCCGCGCUCCUCGAGCGCUGCUGUAAGCGGCGCGGCAUCCGCGACCAGGACCCGCUCGACUGGGAGAAGGAUGCGGUGGCGGCCCCCCGCGCCCGCGCCGCCGUGCACGCGGCGCCCGAGCUGGCGCCGCCCACAGACACACAACCCGAUAAUACUCGCCGGCGUCUAGAAACAGAAGUGACCACAGCAGUCGCGACGGACACACAGACAAACCUGCAGAAGGACAAAGUUGACAAAAAACCUGCUUCACCCAGACACGCCACACAUCUCAACGGAUAUUCCACCACGGACAAGCCGACGACAGACAAAGAGGCAGAGCCGCGCACCACACCAGCUCCCUCGCCCGACAGACAUGCUAAGGAGACAAGUACGUCUGUGGUGACCGGAACGACGGCCACACGUCCGGAGCGACAGAGUGUCCCACCAUGCAAGCCGCGAGCACCGGCGCCAGGCGGCGGCCCCACGCUGGCGCGGCUGCGCGUGGUGACGGCGCCGCCCACGUGCGUGCAGGACCUGGCCGCGCACGCCGCGCCCGCGCCCGCAGGUGAAGCCGUGAGCCCGAGAAUAGUGGCCGAUGUGGACAGCGUGCAUUCUGAUACGCAUUUCAAACGUGGCGGCCGCCGCGGGCCGCGGGCGCCGCGCGCCGACCAGAGCUACACGCAGUUCGCCGUCAUGGACGAUGAGAACGUGUCCGCCCUGCAACAGGUGACGAAGGGCGGCGCUCUCACCCUGGUCUCGUUGUGGAAGUCCCAGUUCGACGACUCCGAGGAGACCACUGACAACGAAUGGAAACAGGAACAACUGCAGUCCCCCGAGCACCGCUGCCCCCGCGCCGUGUCGGCGGUGUCAUCGUCGUCGGCGGCGCCGCGCAGCCUUCUUGCCCACACGCACUCCACCACGCACCAGACGCAGAAACCAGCUGAUAAGCAGCCGCCGCCUCCCCAGCCAACAGAGCCGAAGCCGCCGCCCCCGAGCACCCAGCCGGCGGCCCCGCGGGCGCGGCCCGCCGAGCAACGCAAGCGCUCGUGCCUGCACAUCCCGGGGAUCGACGCUUACCCCAAGCUGCAGCCCAGCCUGCCUCGCUGCUGGACCCUGCCCGCCAUAGGGUCCCACAUCCGGUCGCUGCGGCCGCCGCUGCUGCAGCAGGCGUCGUUCGACGGCGCGGACGGGUCGGCGCUGCGCUACCUCGUGGACGUCAUGCGCGGCGUGGCGGCGAGGGACGCCGGCCCCGGCAGCGGCCCCGCCCGCGGGGCCCGCGCCUGCAGCGUGCCGAGUCUAUCCUGUUCAUCAACGAGCACCCCUCCCCGCGCGCCCGCCAAGCCGGAGCCGGAAGGGGCCACCGUGUCCAGCCGCCUGGAGAUCCGUGUCCGACCCCCGGACUCCGCUAGUCCGGGGACUGCGGGGAUAGACCUUGUCAAGAUCCAUUCGGUGGUGAGCGGUGGUGAGCCUGCCAGGAACCACGAUGAAGCUUCGAUAUACUAUGACGCAACUGAGCACCAGAGGGACAAACGGUCCUCUACACGUAGUAAUGAGAAAAGCCAGAGUCCGGCCGUGGAGCGCACGCGCCUCGAGUCUAUACCCGACAGGAGCAGUCCUGUGGUGAAGCGAGACCCGACAGGCGCCGGCGACGGGUCGCAGAGUCUCAGAGAUCGGUCGUCUGGUAGCGGCGCGACGUCCCGCAUCCCGGUGGCGACAUCUGGCGAGCAUCGCCUCGCCAAGUGCGCCUCCUGGAGUGGGGAUGGGCCUUUAUCCCCGGACGUGGCCGAUCUUACCCCGGCCCUCCGUCGGCGGCGGCAGAACGCAAACGAGAAGUACGCAGUAGACCCCGCUCGGGAAUUGAACCUGCGUUUCGCUAGACCACGGCACCGCACCCCGCAGCAACACCACUCUAGGAGCGGGUCCCGCGGCGUGCCGGCGCUGCUGAUGUCGUCCCCGCCGGCGUCGGGCGCGUCGGGGGGCUCCUCGUCGUCGGGCUCCCCUCCCCCCGCGCCGCCCCACGCCCCGCACCACCACAACGCCGCGAGGGCCCGCCGGUUCCGGCCGCUCUCCAUAGCGCCAUAGGAAGAAGCGGUAUUCUACGACGGUUCGGCAAAGUUCUGAUGUUAAAGUAAACAUGCAUAAUACUAUAUAGUCGAGUCGUUUCUACUCGAAAAUUGUUAACGUUAUAAUCUACAUAAGACAUGCUUUCCUUACGGAGUGGGCAGAGAAGGAGCACGCUAGUUAAUGGAGAGAAACAUAUAUUUAUAGUCACGUCUCUUUCCCUAGUAGUUCACCAUUCCCCUCGGCGGUUACCGCUAUCGACCCACUAGGCUUCCGAAUACAUCCCGCUCAGGGGCGGUACUGAAAAGUAUCUGCGUCCAAAGGACGUAAUAUACGAUCCUGAAACCCGAUUACUCUAGCCAUAGAGGCGGCCAAUCAGCUCGCGACACCAAACACUUCAGAACCCCGAUACCGACCGCGCCGGCGUGGUCGACGAUUUCCCUCAUUGAGCGCUUAUCGCUAUCGGCCCACUAGUCGAUUAAUUCUUUCAAAUGUAACCCUCUCAGACGACGCCCUAAGCCGAGGUUCUCGCCCAACUGGGCACCCUCAGGCCUGUUGUCUUAAAUUUUAUGCCGGGUGAGAGCUCUCAGCGCUCACCAUUUGUCCGGUCAAGUAGUUAAUGUCAUUUGCGGCAAAUCUACAGUAAAUCACGUUAAAAAGAAUGAUAUAUCAACUCUUACAAGUCCAUUUUCUAUCAGAAACAGUCUUAAGACGUCCCACUGCUGGGCACAGGCCUCCCCUCAAUCAACCGGAGGGGGUAUGGAGCAUACUCCACCGCGCUGCUUCAUAAUAAAAAAUAUUUUUAAGUAAUAUCUAUCACUGUGCUACAUUUUCCAUUUUCUUCACGCUAUUUGCUCUUCCAGGGUAGUCAAUAAUACCCUAGCUGUAUGAUUGAAGAUAUUUUUUUCUUUUCGGUGCUAUCUAUAACAUAUCUUAUGUAGAUUAUAAUAAAAAUAAAAUUUGCUAUAACGAACUGGGAAAAAAAAGAAUUUAUUUCUCAUGUAAAAUACUAAUUAUUUAUUUAAUUUUUAAUAACUCAUUUAAUUUUAAUGUAAAUUUUAAUUAUAUUAAGUUUGACAAUUUUUUUUGGUUCUGUAUAGCAAAUUUAAAAAAAAGAUGUGAUUGAUACCUCGAGUAGCUAUGAACCUUAUUUUGUAUGUAAUAAGGGUGUUAAUAGCGCGUACGGUUAUAUCAAUGUUUUCCAAAGGUAUAUACGCCUAUUAGAUAUUAUUCUUCACGCUUAAACACUUGCAGGCUGGACAGAACAAGUAAUAAAUUCACCUUUUAAGGUUUUUGGUGCUUGGCGCGUAUUGAAAUGUAAUAAUAUUCAACAUACAUAUAAAAAAGUCACGCCCGUUGUCACUAAAGGGGUGGGCAGAGCCGCAAUUCAACUUGCAGCCAACUUUAGAUCAAAUGUACAGUCUUCUUAGUAAAAACCAAGGUAUAAGAAAACUAGGUAUGCUCAAUCCUAUGACAAGCCGCCAUUGCUAGCCCAUUGAUGACGUAAGUGUUACCAUUCAAUUGGUAUCUCCAACAUUCCAAA